rnacentral:rRNA from 1 species
UACGGAGGGUGCAAGCGUUAAUCGGAAUUACUGGGCGUAAAGCGUGCGCAGGCGGUGAUGUAAGACAGGUGUGAAAUCCCCGGGCUUAACCUGGGAACUGCAUUUGUGACUGCAUCGCUGGAGUGCGGCAGAGGGGGAUGGAAUUCCGCGUGUAGCAGUGAAAUGCGUAGAUAUGUGGAGGAAUACCGAUGGCGAAGGCAGCCCCCUGGGAUAACACUGACGCUCAUGCACGAAAGCGUGGGGAGCAAACAGG